ACAAUCUGUGGCACGGUUUCGCGACAGACAGCUGCCAAAGAGCACGUCAAAUAGGGUUUAUUUUGAUUAUAUUACGGAAUGAUAAUAAACGAACGAUUAUAUUAUUGUUAUACAUGAGUCUUAGGAGGUGUUGUACAAUAACUAGCACGAAGUUGUUAAUAGUUCCUGGGUUAGAUAAGAUGUGUGGUAUUUUGAAUAUUCCUCGUGCAAAUUCUUGAAUGAAUUGAUUUAUGAAGUGACAUUGACGUGUGAUCGCGCGGGAACUUCGAGUUCAGUUUUGUAUUGAACGCGGGCGAUAUAACUGCGUUUAUCGAAGGAUAUUUGUGGUGGUGUUUUAUCGAAGUUAUGUUAAGUGAAAGUAAAGUGUGCAAUGCGGUUAUGUGGCUUUAGUGACGUUGUUAUUGCCAAUAUACGUAUAUGUGCAUGCCCUUGCGAGGUUGGCAAGAUCCCAUACAUGCGAACAAUUCCAUGUGUACUUCCGGACUAACGGAGUAACUAUUAACUUAUUUUUUUUAAUUAUUAAAGGUUUAAAUAUCAAGAUGCCGUUUACAAUGAAAGAAGGGGGUUUCGGGGUGGGUGAUUACGUCGUCUUCGGUGUGCUAUGCGCCGUGUCAUGUGCUGGUGGCUUGUGGUACAGUGCCAUUGGCUCCAAAGCUAAGAAGGUGGUAGACGUUAAAGACUACCUUCUUGGUGGACGAGCACUGUCCACGUUUCCAGUUGCCAUGUCGCUGAUUGCCAGCUACGUCUCUGGAGUGACCAUAUUGGGGACUCCGGCUGAGAUAUACAACUAUGGCACUCAGUACUGGCUGGUGGUGAUCGGAGUGUCCCUCAGCUGUGUAGCAGUAGCUACCAUAUACUUACCUGUGUUCUGCACACUUAGGUUAUCUUCUUCGUAUGAGUACCUAGAGUUAAGGUUUAACAAGAAUGUUCGGGCAGCUGCCUCGGUAUUGUUCCUACUCGACGAGGUACUAUUCCUGCCAAUGGUUGUGUACGUUCCUGCAUUAGCGUUUAAUCAACUGACGGGUUUCAGUGUAUUUGCUGUAGCUGGUACUAUGGUCACCAUAUGUGGCCUGUAUACAGUAUUAGGUGGAUUGAAAGCUGUGGUGUGGACGGAUUCAGUUCAGACGGGAGUGAUGUUCAUAGGUGUCAUCCUAGUAGCGGCCGCCGGGACGAUCGCCGUCGGCGGCGUCUGGGAGGUCAUCGACAUCGUCAACGAAACCGGACGAUUUGAACUAUCCAACUGGAGUUUCUCUCCAUACGAGCGCCAGACCGGUUGGGGAGCUGUAGUCGGAGGAUUCCUGUACUGGACCUGCUUCAAUUCUGUCAACCAGACCAUGGUACAACGAUACAUCUCAUUGCCAACUAAGAGGAAAGCUAUCACGGCCAUAUUCAUCUUUUGCUUGGGUGCAAUCCUGGCGAUCUCCCUCUGUGUAUGGUGUGGUCUUGCGGCCUGGGCUACCUGGGUGCAAGGAGGUUGCGAUCCUGGCGGUGUGCCCCUGGUCGAUGAUAGACUUCUACCAGCCUUCGUGACGUACGUGUCCAGAGCUAAGCACUUGCCUGGAUUGUCUGGGGUAUUCUUGGCUGGAGUCUUUGGAGCUGGACUUAGUUCCCUUUCUGCAGUAUUGAAUGCAUGUGCAUUGGUCGUGAUCGAGGACAUCAUCCACGGCUGGCUGAAGCUUCAACUGAAGCCGUUCACUGAGGGUAUGCUGGCCAGGGCUAUCACCGCCAGCUUGGCUGUUAUAUCUGUCGUGAUGCUGUUCGUUAUUGAGAAACUUGGAGGCGUUCUUGGUGUAGCAACAGCUUUAUCAGCCAUUGCAGCGAGUGCGACGUGUGGAGUUUUCACUCUGGGCAUGGUGUGCUGGUGGGUGGGCCCCCGAGGGGCGCUCUCAGGGGCCCUGGCCGGCGCCCUACUAGCUGGUACAGUAUCGCUUGGGACCCAAGCUGCUGCAGCUAACGGUUUGAGAGCCCCACCGCUGAAUAUAACUUCGGAUUGUGCCCGAAACGCUUCCUAUGUGGAUUCAUUUAGUGAUGCUAUCGACCCAGAAUCCGUGUUCCCGCUAUUCAGAAUAUCAUACCACUGGAUAGCACCUCUUGGGUUACUGGCUACUCUCACAGUCGGCAUGAUCGUGGGCUGGUUAUUCGACAAGAAGGAGAGUUUAAAGAUGGAUGCCGAGUUAUUCACGCCGGGUAUGUGGCGCUUCUUGCCACAAGAAGCUAUUGAACGUGCUGGUGAUACAAGAAGGGCGAUUGUAGAUCGACAAACCGCACCUGCUCAUGCUGCACCACUUAUCCUUGCUACUAUUGAUAAGAUACAUAAGGAAAAUUAAUUGGCAUGUAAAGGCGAUACGUAGGCAUUAUUCCCUUAGCGAGUAAAUUGGAUUGAAAUAAAUGGCGAGCCAAGCAGGUGAGACGAGCGGACAUAAUAAUAAUUUCUAGGUAUUUUUAUUCAUUGUGACAAAGAUUUAAAUUGUCUAGUCACGCAGUGAUUUAAAAAAAAGUAUUGCAAUUUGGAAAAAAAUGUUUUUUCAAAAAAUGUUUAAGAUAAAUCGGAAAUUUAUGGGCAUUAUUAGAUUUUUUAAUACAAAUGCCUUAUAAAUGAAAAAAGAAUACAAAAUCAGGGAAAAAUUUUAUUUGUUUAGCUUUUAAUUAUAACCAUUCCUUUAAUUAAAUGUUGGAAAUGGUAUUGUAGUGUGGAACAUGAAAAAGUGUAAUGUGUUUGUGACUUGUGUUACAUUGGGACCAAGAGACUUGUUACGUAUUUUAAUAAAGUAUGCGCUGUUUGCGACCAAUAAACAAAAAUGUCAUUACAUAAAAUAAAACUAUAUAAACGGCUUAUAAAAGAAAAAAAAUAUAUAUAGAAAUUGGAACAUAAGUAUGGUGGUAUGUAAAGCAAUAAAAUGAAAGUUGUAUCCUAGCUGGCAUGGCAAAAUUCUACGCAAUUUUGCAACAAUAAUUUGAAUAUUAUUUUUUAUAAACUGUCUAUUUAUGGUGCCAAUAUUUUUUUAUAUUAAUUAUUAUUUAUUUAAAUUAAGCGUACCUAUAUCUUUAUGUUACUAAUAUAGUUUUUUUAAUAACGUUUAUUAAUUAUAAUGUAAACAGAUCUAUUCGUGGCUGUUUUUGUGUUCUUGUAAUUAAAAUGGAUUUGAUACAUACAUUACACAAAAAAAAAUAACAUUAUUACAGUUGUAAGUUGGAAUGGAAUAAAA